UGUGUGUUUGUGUGUUUGUGUGUGUGUGUGUGUGUGUGUGUGUGUAUGAAUGGACUUUUGCUCUAGUGCACCCAAACUAUCGUCGAGAAAAACACGCGAAUAAUAACAACAAUAAAAAUAACAACAAACAGCAACAACAACAACAACAGCUGUGUCGCCUUGUCCCACAGCAGUACAUCCAGGUGCAUUUUAGGUGCACAUGCACUCAACUGCGAAUAUGAUUUCAAAGUCCAGCACAUUGACGUGUUAUGCUACUCGCCCAUAUGUUUGUAUGUUUGUGUGUCUGUAUAUUUAUCGCGAAUUCUGAGUACAUUGGAAAACUGCUGCAGAGUAAUAAUGGAAAUGAAAACAAUAACACGUGCAGUAUAUACACUUGGAGAUCGGUUAGUAAUUGAAGAAGAAUGUCAACUUUACAACACGUUCAGUG